AGAAUGUUUUAAAGGCUUUAAUAACAAGGAUAGAGUUUCUGUUGGUUAAAGGGUAGGCUAUGGUUUUCUUUGACAUUAGAUGGGAAGAUGCGAAAUUAAAGAUUUAGUAGUUAUAUGUAUAUAUGUAUCUACAUAUAUAUGGAUUUUUUGAAUUAUAUAUUUUUGGUGAAUAUGAUGCGCUUUUAUAGGAAGGGGUGCAAAAAAAUAUUGUAAAUUGUAUGUAAAAAAUUUUAAUAUGUAUAUUUCUUUGGUGUAUAUACCUUAAAAGGAAUAAUUUCUUUUUGUGUAUAGUGAAUCUUACGUGUAAAUAAAUGUGGAUAUAUGUCUUACUAAUAAUUAUUAAUGUUUAUGUUGUUGUAUUACGAUAAGAAUCUGUAAAAUUGUAUAAUUAGUGUAUGUGUGUGUUUUUUAUAUGUUAUGGUAACCAUGGGGCAAAGUAAUCAAUCAAUUCGUUUGGAGUAUAAUGAUUAAUAAGAUUUUUUCUGUGUUUCUUUGGGUAGUUGAAUUUUGAUUUUUUAAUCUUAAAUUGUAGUUGAAAUGGCAACAAUGUAAACAAAUACAAAGUUCUUUUAUUUCGUCAAUGCGUUUGUGUGGCCAAAUCGUAUCGGGUUUCAUGGCAAGGGCAUGGGAAGAGGAGGGGAAAAAAUAUUCAACGAGUCGUCGGCGGUUCCCGGAUUACGCUCUUAUUUAUACAAACAUAAAAGAACGUGCAGUAAAUUCUCUUUAUGCGGGGGAAACCCCCGAUUUUUCCAUGGAAGAAGAUGUGUAUUAGGAAAGUAUUUUCACACAUAAUAAAUCUGUACACAAAUAAAAUGCAACAUAACAACAUGGAUUGGACAAGCUUGUGCGAUUUUGAGUUGUUAUUUUCACCACAUCUCUCCGUAGUUUAAAAAAACUUAAAAAAUACAUAUUUAUAAUAAAAAGAUUAUGUUAUAAUAAGAAUAAUAAUAAAAGCUUAUAUUUCAAUUUUUUGCAUUGUCAAUAUUCAAAACUACAA